GCACUUAAACAUUCCUAACAUGACAUGACCAUGGUAAUUUCACAUGCAAUAGAUAUCAUAGAUUUUUCUCACAUCUUUACCACAUUCAUGCUAUAAUCAUUAUAAACUCAUCACAUAAUACCAUAGCACAUGUAUGUAUAAUUAAAAUGAAUUUACAAUCCCAUAAUCAAAAUAAGCCAACACAUAUGGUCAAAGCCAUAUCACAUACUCUAAUAUUUAAACUCCUAUACAUGCCAUAGACUCAAAGUACUUGAAAUCACUACACCAAUAGCGUUAGCUUGACAGUGUGAUAAUAUCUCCGACGAACUCCAACCCGAGCUAACCUGGAAACUCUAGAAAACAUGGGAAAGAAGGGAGGGUAAGCUUUCGCUUAGUAAGUUCAUAUGAAAACAAUAAGCAACUCAUUAACUUGUUUUAUCAAUGUUUACAACAUAUUUUCAAGUUCACUACAAGCUGUCUUUCUGAGCAAUGGUCACUAAAUUAUUUAUAUCUGGAGCUACGAAACUCCGAAUUAAGUUCCAUUAAUUUUCUCUGAAACUAGACUUAUUUUCCUUUCUUCCAUAAAAUUUCCAGAAUUUUUGGUUAAGCCAAAUAGUACAAUUUAUUCCUCAAAGUUACCCCUGAUUCACUGUCUGACAGUUCCGACCCUUCUGUACUAAAGUUCAAUAAUCUCAUAGUACAAGACUCGAACAAUGUUCUCGUCUAUUUCUCUUGAAACUAGACUCAUAUGUCUACUUACUAAUUUUUUUCUAGAAUUUUUUUGGUUGGGCCAAUUAGUACAGUUUAUUAGUUAAAGUCUCCCCUAUUUCAGGGUAUGACCACUCUGACCCCUGUGCACUCCAAACCGAAUUUCUCCCUGUAAAAAAUUCCAACAACCAUGCCGUUUAUUUCCCCUAAAAAUAGACUCAAUAAGGAAUCCAUGCAUAUAAGGUAUGACUCUUAAAUUUUUUUUUACAAUUUUUGGUAAAUUUCUAAAGUCAGAAUAGGGGAUCUCGAAUUUAUUUAGACCCUGUUUCACAAGAAUUCAAAUAUCACACAAUAUGGAAUUCUUUUUCUUCCCCUGUUUCUUUCAUGUGAAAAUAGACUCAUUAAGCUUUAAUCCCAUAUUUUAUUCUGCCUCUAACUCAUUUUCCACUAUUUUUAUUGUAUUUUCAAAGUUACACUACUGCAGUAACUCAAAUCUGUCAAGGCUAAAUUACUCAUUCAUGAUCAUUGUUCACAAAAUUAAUACAACAUCGUUUGUAUAAUCAUCACCGAGACAUUCAUAUCACAUUUUCAUUUACCAUCUUACCAUGUUGUUGUUAUGUCGAGUUUUCAACCCGAGGGUUAAGUACAUACCUGUUCAAAGUAUCCAUUUCACAAGAUUUAUCAAUACGUCCCUUUCAUCUCGAGUAUUCCUCCAUUUGAGUAGAAUUUUACCCGUUGAACACACCGGAAUAUAAUUCGAAUACAUGGAAAGUUUGCACAUAAGUGCCACAUAUGUAGCCAAGCUACCAUGUAACCCGCCCAUAAGUGAACUCGGACUCAACUCAACGAGCUCGGGCGUUCACAUCCAUAAGUGAACUCGGACUCAACUCAACGAGCUCGGAUGCCUAGUUACAUCUCACGAACUCGGACUCAACUCAACGAGUUCGGAUGCUCAACCAUCCUAGUGACAUGUCACUUGUAUCCUAAUCUAUUCCUAAGGUUCAAACGAGAUUUUCCUCGAACACAUAUCCUUGCCAUCUUCCGUAAAAUACCGAAACCAAUACUCGGUAGCACUUUAUAUUUAAUAUAUAAUACACAUAACUUGCAUUUUAUUCGAAAAUAACCACAAAGCAUAUAUUUCAUGAUAAAAAUCAGCAUAUCAUAUAUUUAACAUCAAUAACUUAAAAAUAACAAUUAUGCUACAUUAUUUACACAUGAACUUACCUCGAUACCACAAAGGUGAAAAAAAAGACGUAAUUAUCUCUUAAUCGAUUUCUUUCCGUUCUAGGUCCAAAUCUCGAUUUUCAUCAUCUAAAAUAUCACAUUCAACUUAUUAAAACAAUGUACUGAUAAAUUAGUCCAUUGACACACUUGGGCAAUUUUUACAAUUUUGCCCCUAUAUUUUGCCAAAAUUACCAAAUUGCCCCUAGGCUCGUAAAAUAAAUUUUAUCACAUUUCUUUACUCCUUGAGUCUAGAUGAACCAUUUUCAUAACUAUAGCAACUCAUAAUUUCAACUAUUUCACACAUUUACAACUCAUUUUACAACUUAGCAAUCUAGCCCUUUUUAAGGUGUUUUCAUGCAAUUUCUUUCACAAAAGUUGUUUAUUAGACAACUAGGACUUAUAAUCUUCCAUAAAAACACAGAAAAAAACACAUUUACUCUCAUGGCAAAACCCUAGACUCUUCAUAAUUUUGCAAAAUAGUCCCCUCUUAUGAAAGCUCAUGCUUUAGGGGUUCCAAAAAUGUAAAAAUCAUCAAGCAAACACAUUAAAAUCACUUACAAGCAAGGGAAAUAUGUUGCUGAAAUUUUCCAGCUUCAAAACCCUUUCUUUGCUGCAUAUUUCGGUGAAGGAGAAGAGAAAAAUGAUAGCUUUUUUCUUUUUGAUUUGUUAAUAAUAAA
rnacentral:lncRNA from 1 species